rfam:Tupaia chinensis contig76666, whole genome shotgun sequence.
CAGCCUGAAGUGAUGACUUUACAUUUCAUGUCUCUUCUCUGAUCAUUUUUCUCUGAAGAUAUAUUUUUCCUUACUGAUCUGAUCAGGCUA